UACGGGGGGGGUAAGCGUUGUUCGGAAUUACUGGGCGUAAAGGGCUCGUAGGCGGCCAACUAAGUCGAACGUGAAAUCCCCGGGCUCAACCCGGGAACUGCGUCCGAUACUGGCAGGCUUGAAUCCGGGAGAGGGAUGCGGAAUUCCAGGUGUAGCGGUGAAAUGCGUAGAUGUCUGGAGGAACACCGGUGGCGAAGGCGGCAUCCUGGACCGGCAUUGACGCUGAGGCGCGAAAGCCAGGGGAGCAAACGGG
rnacentral:rRNA from 1 species